GUUUUAAUAAUUUAAUUAAAAUAUUGGUCUUGUAAACCAAAAAUAAGUACCCUUUUAAAACAUCAGAGAAAG
rnacentral:tRNA from 1 species